GUCAGGAUGGCCGAGCGGUCUAAGGCGCCAGACUCAAGGUUCUCAGACCUUCCCCUGGUUAAAGGAGGAUUCUGGUCUCCACAUGGAGGCGUGGGUUCGAAUCCCACUUCUGACA
rnacentral:tRNA from 1 species